AACGCACAUUGCGCCCCGUGGUAUUCCGCGGGGCAUGCCUGUUCGAGCGUCAUUAUAACCCUCACGCCCAGCGUGGUCUUGGGGCCUGCCCUGCGGCAGCCCCUAAACGCAGUGGCGGCGCCGCGUGGCUCUCAGCGUAGUAAUUCUUCUCGCUACAGGGUCCGCGCGGGUGCUCGCCAGCAACCCCCCAUCUCAAAGGUUGACCUCGGAUCAGGUAGGGAUACCCGCUGAACUUAA
rnacentral:misc_RNA from 1 species